rnacentral:rRNA from 1 species
GACGGAGGGGGCAAGCGUUGUCCGGAAUCACUGGGCGUAAAGCGCACGUAGGCGGGACGGUGCGUCGGCGCUGAAAGCGCCAGGCUUAACCUGGCGAGGCGUGCCGAUACGACCGACCUCGAGGCAGACAGAGGGUGGCGGAAUUCCGGGUGUAGUGGUGAAAUGCGUAGAGAUCCGGAGGAACGCCGGUGGCGAAAGCGGCCACCUGGGUCUGACCUGACGCUGAGGUGCGAAAGCGUGGGGAGCAAACCGG